rnacentral:rRNA from 1 species
GAAAGGAGUAAUCCGUCUGAAGAUGAGCCCGCGUCCGAUUAGCUAGUUGGUGGGGUAAAGGCCUACCAAGGCGACGAUCGGUAGCUGGUCUGAGAGGAUGAUCAGCCACAAUGGGACUGAGACACGGCCCAUACUCCUACGGGAGGCAGCAGUGGGGAAUUUUACGCAAUGGGGGAAACCCUGACGUAGCGACACCGCGUGAGCGAAGAAGCCCCUUGGGGUGUAAAGCUCUGUCAGCUGGAACGAAACAAAUGACGGUACCAGCAGAGGAAGCAUCGGCUAACUACGUGCCAGCAGCCGCGGUAAGACGUAGGAUGCGAGCGUUGUCCGGAUUUAUUGGGCGUAAAGAGUUCGUAGGUGGUUUGUUAAGUUUGAUGUUAAAGAUCGGGGCUCAACCUCGGGACAGCAUUGAAUACUGGCAGACUUGAGUAUGGUAGAGGCUAGUGGAAUUCCCAG